rnacentral:tRNA from 1 species
GGGACGAUGGCGCAGUUGGGAGCGCGUCUGACUGAAGUUUCAACUUCAUCACAAACACCUACUUCAGGUGAUCAGGAGGUCGUCGGUUCGAUCCCGGCUCAUCCCA